GAUGAUGCAUUGUGGGUGGGAAACACCAAGCUACCCCGAGCGGUUUGCUGCACAUGAGCGAGCUGUCUGUCUGACAGGGCAGGUAAACACACUGGCUGACCAUUAUAGGUCUGUCUUGCACUGCUGAUGUACAAUAUAUCACAUAACUGCACGCACAAGCGUUUGUUAUGGGAAAUGUAUUUGUUGUACUGUUGGAUAGGUUAUACAGUUGUUUCAGUGUUGCUCCUUUAAACACAUAUUAGUAGGUUUAAUUCAGACUUCUAUAGAUAUCUUCUUCUUUUAUAGGUAUACAUUUUUAUAGGAAAUACUAGUAGACUAUGAAUGUACAGUAGGUUAGAUUAAUAUAUUUAGGUUGAAUGAAUGAAUGAAUUAAUGAAUGAAUGAAUGAAUUUGUAUUAUUAUUGUGUUAUGCAUUGGCAUGCCCAGCCCACAAGGGCUUACAAGACACCAUUAUAAAAGAUAGACAGACCAAAAACCAAAAGUAGAUGCUAAACAAUACUAACAUUAACGAUAUAAAUCAUCCUGACGUUUCAUCCAGGCUUUAGUAACAAAAGAGGCUAACUUAUAAACAUUACAUCCUGACAUCAUCAUUACUCCAAAAUAUUUCAGGGUUUUGAGCAAACAGUUCAUUUACAACAGGGGCUCUUAGUUCAUCAUAGAAGGGACAGUAUAAAAGAAAAUGAGAUUCAUUCUCCACUUCUCGUAAAUCACAUAGUUCACAAAGUCUCCGUUCUUCUGGGGUUGAAUUGGAAACACACAGUAAAUGCCUUGUAUAUUUGGCUUGGCUUGUUGUUAUUGUGAGUACAGUGGCUUCAUAUAAAAUUAUUUUAAAAAACAAAGGCCAGACCAUUAAUAUGACAACCAUUUGCAUAUUCAGCAUUGCUUUGUUCUCUGUGUUAACUAUUCACACAUAAUUACAUCAAUAUGUGUAAUCACAGCCUUCUGGUGAGAACUGUGCAUGAAAAUGUGUUUAUAUUUGCUUUAUGAUAUAUUAAGAUGGCUAGAAUAGAACAGAAACGGCAUUGUCAAUAUUUUAUGUUUUUCUUCUGUUUGCUUUAUAAUUAUAAUUAGGCUACAUUAACACCAGGCACAAGGAUGGCAUACCAGGGAUUUCAGGGCAUAUUCUUGUUUCAUUUACUUAACGUUGAGUAAAUUUUUUUAUAUAUUAAAUACAUGCAUGCUGCACACACAUCUUAGCAGUGACUUUCAACUUCCAUGGACACAUUAUAACUAAUAUAAUUAGUUCUACUUCAUUCAGCUCUGUACAGUAUUAGAUUGGGGUUCAUCUCAGUGCAGGGUUGACUGGCAGGGUUCGUAGAUGAGACAUACAAUGGGGUUGCCCAACUGCUUACCAGUCAGAUUUUGUGUAGAGCUGUUUGCAGUUUGACACGUCUAUAUGGACAUAACUGAACUCACUCCAAACAGUCCCACCUUUCUUUAUUUGGAUUCAGGUUACAUUGCACAACAAAUUUUUGCAGGGAAAUUGGUCCAAGUUUAAAAGUAUGACCCUCCUUGGUUUCCAAUUUUAGAGAUGCCAGGUGUGUAAAUGCUUGCCCUUUCCAAAUCUUGGCCAAUUUGGCUGAAAUUCAGAAUGGUGCUUAAUCUUUAUUCAAGUCACUCCUUUGAUUUUUCUUCCCUGUAAGGUCGAAGCCUUUUUAUCUCUGACCAAGUUUUUUCCUCCUUCAUGCUUCUGUCUGGGAGUCAAAGUUGUUGUCUGAGUCUACAGCUAGACUACAGCAGAAUUCUAACCCCCAAAUUCCUCCUGGGCUGACAAACGUCAACAAAGACCCCGAGAGACACCAAAGAGAGCUGCAGACUAACUCUGUCUGAGACCUUCUGAGACUGGUGUCUGAGUUGGAGCAGUUUUCGUAAUGAGGAGAGGAUAGGCUGCAGUCAGUGACCCACAUCUCAGUGCAUUGAACUGCUUAACUCAGACUGUUGUUUUAUUCAGUGCACUGUCAACAGACGGGUGAGGAGGAGGAAGGAGGGGCGGGGGGUUUAUACCUAUCGGCCACUGUGAUUGGACGCUGGAUCCGGCUCCUCUUCGCCAUUGGCUGCUCGCGCUGUCACUCUGGAUCUGUUAUCGCCGCUUCCCGCGCCAUUCAGCGUGCACGCGCAGGACAAGCAGGCACGUAACCGCUUGGAGACUGUCUGGAGUCUGUCUGAAAUUGAUAAAAUUGGAGAUGGGAGGUUUUUUUUUAACAUCUCUUUGCACAUUUACAAGGAAGCCGCCUGCUGGAAAUGGGAUUUUUUUGCUCUCCUCCUCAAACGCCUUCGCUCACGAGUCGCCACGCUCAGCCAAAAUAUUUUUUUUUUUUAGAUAAACGCUGUGAAAGUUUUUUCUUCCUGCAGUCUAUCAGCAGACAGCUCUUUAUGCACAGGCAGGGGAUCAUCAGGCUGGAGUUCAAGAGGAGUGCACCAUCCAGAAAGCAGCCUGCACCAGCUUUAGAAAGGCCUGGCCCAAACCUGAUCCAGUGUCUGACAAUAAUGAUUGGACUUGCAAUUAGAAAGGAGAUCCAUGGUUUCUUGCAUCCUGUCAUGCCUUCAUGUCUUCGACGCUGGAGCGUGUCCGCCCAAAUGGUGCAACAUCAAUAUCAACGCCACAUGAAUAUUAGAUCCUCAUUAGAAGAAGGCUACCUUCCUGAAAUUGCACAGUGACUAUACUGUAAAUGUCAGUUGUCACAACACUUAUUUUUUUGGGCUUUGUGAAAGGUCUUCCUUCCACUUCAUAACAACUCUAUUGCAAGGCAUUCCACAUCCAAAUGGCAGUGUGGAGAAUUUUAAGUGUAGAGAGCUGGUGGUGGACUAGGAGGAAGAUGUCAUGCUAAGGAUGGGUUUUGGUGAUGAUGUUGCUGCUGUUGAUGCAGCAUCGAGCUCUCACUUUGUGCCUCUGUCAGCUAUGAUGCGUAACCACAAAGUGAGUGACAGGCCAGUCCCCGGGGAGAGCAGGGGGCCUGAGGUGAGUCAGAUGUAUCCUUGACCCUGUCUAGCUGUGUCAGCAAGCAACACAAACUCAGUAACAAAGGCAAAAAAUGGGAUGACUGUACAUUGUACAUCUUAAUUUAGUAUGUAGAAGAAGAAUGUAAGAGACAGUAAGAAACACAACCACCUUGACUGUUUCUGUUCAAAAGAUCUGGUUUUUAUUGCUCCCAGACUUUAAACUAUUAAACUCCCCCGACUUAUAAAUUAUGAAAGUAUAAUGCAGCAUAUCACAUUCAACUGAUACCUUUGGACCUCUUGCAUGCAUUAGUAUUUCCACCAGAGUGCUGAUUGUUUUACUCUCGGUUCUGAUAUUGUUAAAAACCCGUCUGAAACAUGAAGUUGGUACUGAUUUGGGUAGAUUCAACAUUGUUUACUUCAGUGCAUUACAGAUACAGUAUUAAACACCCAAUGUCAGGUUAAGACUUUGAUAAAAGAUGUCAGAGAAAGAUAUUAUUUGAAAGAUAUUAUUUAUUUGCAGUUUUUUAAAGCUUGUUUAUUCUGAAAGUUUUGUUUUGUUGCACACCUAUUUAGCUCAUAUUUUAAGUUGGAGUGCUUUCAGGGAGUGGGAAAGUAGACGUCUGUAAAAUUUUAAGUACUCAGUUUAUUACUUAGAAACUUGAAGAUGAAAUUUGAGAAUAACUUUGUUAGGAUAUAUACUGUACAUGAUACAACAGCCAAAGAAUCCUUAGUGUUCAAAGGCAAGUCAGCUACUAGUCUAGGUGUUACAAUACUUGAAGGUGAUCCAACUUUAAAGAUAAUUUAAAACACUAUGUUACUCACACCUGGCUGUUGCUAGUUAAAAUAAAUUGAUAAUGCUGAAUAACUUUUUUUCCCCAAUCUAAAUGAUGAAGAACUUUAUGGAAAAAACUGUAUUGCAGUAUAAUAUCAGUUGUAGUCACACAUUACAAUUAAGUUUGAUGCAUUUUACACAAACUAUAGUCGUAUUAGUGGUAUUAUCAUUAUAUUUAGUGCUGAAACAAUUGCUUAAUUAAUCAGUUAGUCUGUCAACAGAAAAUAAACCUACAACAAUUUUGAUAAUUAAGAAGUUAAAGUCAUUUAUCGCGCAAAAAUGCUGAACUUUUAUUGGUUCCAGCUUCUAAACUGUGAGGAUUUUGCUCUUCUCUGUUUUAUCUCAUCAUAAAUUUGGACAAAACAAGCAAUUUGAAGAGGUCACCUCAUGCUCUGAAAAAUUGUGAUGAGCUUUGUUUUUCUAUUUUUAAUUAAUUGAAUAAUAAAAAACAUAAGCAUCAAACUUAUCGCUAAUGAAAAUAACAGUUUCAGCCCUUGUUAUAUUAAACGAAAACAUAAAGUUAAAAAUAGACCAAAUUGGCAUUAUUUUUGGUUAAAAUGAUUAGGAAUUGUUUUGUUCAGGCAUGAAUAUCUGCUUCUAUCUGCUAAAACCAUAACAUCAGUAUAUUAUGUUGAAGGUUAGUGUUGGUUUUCAGUUUCAGAAGUGCUUGUUGUGAUCUGUUGUCUUAGAAUUCAGUACAGCAAGACAUUUUACCAAAGCCGCUGCCAAUCUUUCUAUCAAAUGCAAAAAAAAUCCUGAUUGAACUGAAACAAUUGAUGCAACCUGCGUCGUGUGAAAUAAUUUUUUAAGAACAAGUUCUAACUCUUGAACGUUAACUCUUUCUGAACCAAUAUUUCCUUUAGUGUUCCCUCAUUACUGGAUCCCCUUUCUGUCCAAAAGGAAAGAGGAUCCUUUUGUGACACAUCCAUGAUUCAGUCAUUGAUGCACUGCAGACUAGAAGAACUGCUGGUCAAACCACAUUAUAAACAUCUUUUGUGAAAUUAAAGGCAAGAUUGUAUUAUGUUUUUAAUUCAUUCCCCUAAGCAAUCACCCACUCAAGAAACCAGAUAUGGUGGCUACGUGGGAAAAACGUACAUGACUUUCUGAAUUUCGUCAAGUGAACAAAAAGACUCUUUAUUGAAAAGUCUUGCAUCUUUUUUUUUUUUUUUUUUUUUUUUUUUUCAAGGGUCGCUCAAACACGGUGUGUGAAAUGAGAGUUGCCUGGGUGUGACUUUUCCAGAAAGCAUCCGCUUGCUAUUGUCUGCCUAGUCAACUUCUGCAGGCCCCAGCGCCCUGACUUCUAUACAUGAGAGAUCAAGGGUUACCAAGGUGCUUUUGAGAAAGGAGGGCUCAAUGUGAGAGGGGACAAACCAGUCCACAAAAUACUCAUUUCCUUUGCAUGUUAGGUGCCCUAGUGGGGAUUCAGACGGGGUCACUGACACAACCACUGGGGUUGAGGGUUUUUUUUUUCUCUCUCGUUGUUCUUAAUGAAAACUGUUGCUUGCCUUUUCAGUGGCUUGCAUCUGCUAUCAGCUGCCUAUACAGUAUGCGGCUUGAUAAUAUGCUGAGUUUGCCCAAAAGAAAGUUUGUUCAGACUCUGACUGUUUAUCCGGUGCCAGACAGAGGCACCUCAUGUAGAAAAGGUAAAAGUAAUUCUGUCCACCUCUCAUUCUUGCCAAAAAGUUCAGUCACUGAGCCACGGCAUUAACUUGUAUUCUAACAAGAUUAAAAUAUAUUCGUCCUGGGGAUUAGCAUAGUUAGGUGUCCUUUUGCCUCUUUUUUUUUCCAGCACUGGUGCGGUGACAGUGGGCUUUGAUCUGUGUUGCGAAGCAAGAGUCCUGGCUUGGACCUAGCCAUUCGAGUGCCAAGUGUGAAAUUGGCCUGAUGUCAUCCCCAUUCUUCACCUUUUACAUCUUUCACCACUUUAAUUAUGUUUCCGCCACAAAGCCCAGGCACCUCUGAGCAGAUUCCACUCUGGCCGUAGGAAGCAUUUAGAAACUGUGGGUAAAUGACACAGUAGGGGAGGGGGAGGAUGGUAGGGCGAGGUCAUAGCAGGAUGGGGCCCUUUUGUGUUUAGAGGUAGACAUUGAUACUUUCCUGAUGUAUCCUGUGCUCACUUCCAUUUUUUUUUUUUUUUUUUUUUUUUUUUUUUGUACAGCACGAGAACUUUCUGAAAUUGUCAGCAAUACUCCAGAAAAUAACUUUUACUCCAGGCAUUUCUUUUUUUCUUUUUUACAAUUUCUGCAUCCUAUUCUAGAAGAUAUGUGUAUUUCUCAGGCUUAUCUGCCCAGAUUAUUGAUGAUUUAUGUCAUGUCAUAUAUUAUGUUUUUCACAGCAAUCCAAUGCUUUUCUGUUGCGCGAAGGAGUAAGAGGCCCAAACAAAGACCACUUCUGAUCACUUGACCACCUGAAUCUCACUUCUAGAGAUGAGACAAAUUAUUCUCAGAUAGAAGCUUUUGUUCCAGGAGAAUGUGCCCAUGCAGCCUUACAGCUCCAGCUAUUGUUCAUGCAUUGGUGUCCCUAUCUGAACUUCAGGGAGCUUCCCUGCCUGUGAAUAUUUUGAUGAAGGUUCCUAUUGAUGCGCUGAAUGAAGGACCAAAACAACAGGGGUAUGUGUGCAUGUGAGGAGGAACAAGAAAUGAAUGAAGUGUGUGAGGAUGUGUGCGUGCCGGGCAAGAAUAAAAUAAAAGUGAUAGUAAGAUGUGUGUAUGUGUGUGUGUGUGUGUGUGUGUGUGUGUGUGAGGGGAGAGAGAGAGAGAGAGAGAGAGAGAAGGAGUUAGUGAGUGAGAAAGCUGUGUGUGGAGAAUGGGUUACUGAGGGGUGGGAGGGGGGAAACCAGCCACCUGCAGCCAUGACAGGCUUUGACCUUCAUUGCUCUCUCUCUCUCUCUCUCUCUCUCUCUCUCUCUCUCUCUCUCUCUCUCUCUAGUGUGUCUCUCUCUAGUGUGUCUCUCUUUCUCUCACCCCCUCCCUCCCUCUCUCUCUCUCUCUCUCUCUCUCUCUCUCUCUCUCUCUCUCUCUCUCUCUCUCCCACUCCCAUUCCUGCCUUGUGAUAGAAGCACAGGCUCCUUUCAGAAGCGGCGAGGAAGACUGACCGUCGUGGAGACAGUGCUGGGAGCAGCCCUAUCUGCUCUAAUGCUAGUCACCGGCCGUUAGACAUGGCGUUCAAAGACUAGCGGUGCAAGUAUGGAAAUGCAGAUAAGGCAUUGUUGAGGAAACAUGCCUGGGAAUUGUUCAAGGCUUUCCCUUGCAUAAUAUUUGGAUGCUUUCGCGAAUGUUUUAAUCUCAAACCCCAUGAAUUUGAUCCUCCAUGAAUGUGAUCCUGAACCGCCCAUAGAACAAGUGGGCGUUUGCAUGGAAAGGAUUGUCAUGCUAUGCACAUUAAUAAUGUUUGUGAUUACAUUUGUGAAUAUUUGACAUCUGGCAAACAUUUAUUUAAAACUAUCAUUGUACACAUUGCUCUUUUCUAGACAAUUUUAACUAGGAAUGCAUUUUUUUUUUUCCUACAUUUUGAUGCCAGCAGAAGCUCAGCAUUGAUGGAAGGUCGUGUUUACUGGUUCAGCCAGAACUCAGUUAUGCUCUUCUGUAUUUGUAUGGAAAUAUAUUAAAUGUUUGCUUCUCAUAAAGAUGCUAGAAACUGUUUUGUGUAUAAUCUUCAAGGUUUAUUUACUCUUCUUUUGCAGUUUUUCAGGAGGCAGUUAAUUACACAAUUAAUACAUGAUACAAAUUAUGUACAUUUAUACCAAAGAAUACUUCCAACAUAAAAUAAAAAAUAGCAUUGUAUUCUACAA